UACGAAGGUGGCAAGCGUUACUCGGAAUUACUAGGCGUAAAGGGCAGGUAGGUGGUUUGGUUAGUCUGCUGUGAAAGCUCCCGGCUUAACUGGGAGAGGUCAACGGAUACUGCCAAACUUGAGUAUAGGAGAGGUUACUGGAAUUCCCGGUGUAGCGGUGAAAUGCGCAGAGAUCGGGAGGAACACCAAUGGCGAAAGCAGGUAACUGGACUAUUACUGACACUCAGCUGCGAAAGCUAGGAGAGCAAACAGG
rnacentral:rRNA from 1 species